rnacentral:rRNA from 1 species
CUAUUAAUAACCCCAAAAACACCGACUAUUAAACAACAAACCAUUUUUCCCCCCAAGUAUGGGUGACAGAAAAGGAUACCAUAUGCGCCAUAAAAAAGUACCGCAAGGGAACGCUGAAAAAGAAAUGAAAUAAACCAGUAAAGUUAAAAAAAGCAGAGACUCACGCUCGUACCUUUUGCAUCAUGACUUAGCUAGUAAAAACCAAGCAAAAGGCACUUUAGUUUGACUUCCCGAAACUAAGUGAGCUACUCCAAGACAGCCUAAAAGCAGGGCUAACCCGUCUCUGUGGCAAAAGAGUGGGAUGAUCUUAGAGUAGAGGUGACAAACCUAUCGAACUUAGUCAUAGCUGGUUGCCUAAGAAAUGAAUAGGAGUUCAGCUUUUUGAUUUCUCACCUCAAAUUUAUUUUAUAUUUGUUUGACUCAGAUAGACACCAAAAAAGUUAAUUAAAGGGGGUACAGCUCCUUUAAAACAAGAUACAACUUCAUCAGUCGGGUAAGGAUCAUAAUUAUUAAGGUAAAAAUGUUUUAGUGGGCCUGAAAGCAGCCACCUACAAGAAAGCGUUAAAGCUCAUUCAUAGCCCCUCCCCGUCAAUUUAGAUAACAAAUCCCAGCCCACCAGUUUUAUUAGGCCGCCCCAUGCUUACAUGGGGGCGAUCCUGCUAAUAUGAGUAAUAAGAAAAAUUCAAAAUUUUCUCCUUGCACGCGUGUAAAUCGAAACGGACCCCCCACCGAAACUUAAUCGGCCCCAAAAAGAGGGCAAUGAACUACCACCCCUGAUAACAAGAAAAACACCCAAAGAUUAACCGUUAAUCCCACACUGGUGUGCCUACAAGGAAAGACUAAAAGAAAAAGAAGGAACUCGGCAAAUAAAAGCCUCGCCUGUUUACCAAAAACACCGCCUCUUGUAUACAAAAAAUAAGAGGUCA